GGUGAUUUGAGCUUUGUCACAUGCUGUGUUAUCUUGCUGGAAGCAGACAUCAAAAGAUGGGUAGAGUGUGGGCAUAAAGGGAUGGACAUGGCAGCAACAAUACUUAGGUAGGAUGGGCCAUUUAAACGAUACUCAGUUGGUACUGAGCAGCCAAAAGUUGAAAGAAAAUAUCCACCAACCCAUUAGACCACCAUUAUCCACCUGAAUUAAUAUGAGACAGGGUGGAUCCAUACUUUCACGUUGUUUACACAUCUUUUUGAUUAUCAUCUGAAUCUGAGACUCAUCAAACUAAAAACUUUUUCCAAUCCUCUUUUGUCCAAUCUUGAUAAGCCUGUGUAAAGAGUAGCCUCAAUGUCCUGUUUUAACAGCAGGCAUGCCAUCCAGUGUGUUCUUCUGUUGUUGUUGUAAGUUAUGAAAAGUUGAAACAUUUAGAUUUUUGGACGUUUUUUUUUUUCUUUUACUCGUCAGUUUUAUAGGGAAUGAGGCUGGUCUUGGUCAUGCUAAUGCCUAUGUACACAUUUCACAGCCGCUCGCACCUGUAACACUUCCUCUCAGAAGGAGGCAGUAUAUCGCUAGUCAGACUUACUCAUGUGAAUUAUUCUAAUAAUAACCUGAGGAUUACUGAGACUCCACCCAAUGAAUGAUAGUUUCCUCCUAUUAAAGUUUACUCAGCAGACAGAAAACUGGAAAUGAUUAAGACAGCUGAGAACAUCGUUCAUCACAAAGCAUCAUGAUUAUUCUGCUCCUAAGCAUCUAUUUGAAUUAUAUUCUAGUUUCAGGUUCCUCUUUAAGUGACCAAGUCUCCCAGGAUCCUGCUGACAUUUAUACAAAAGGAGAAGAUGCUAAAAUCUACUGCUCACACAGUAUUCCCAGCUAUAACAGAGUCCUCUGGUACAAGCAGUCAAAGAAACAACUACAAUAUCUCGGAUACAUGCUUACUGACAAAGGUUAUCCAGAGACUGGAGUGAAUGUGGAGAUGGAUGGGAAUGCAGAUCAAGGCAAAAACUGCACAUUAACAAUUAAAGGAAUCAAGCUGAACAGCAGUGGUGUGUAUUUCUGUGCUGCUAGAUACCACAGUGGU
ensembl:lncRNA